UUGGACAGUGAAGCUGUGUGGGGGUCGAGGGGGUGUGGUUAGGGCAACAUGGUCAAAAUGGCCCCCAAGAUUCCCAACCCUGCUCCCGGUGAACAGGACCUGAGGGGAUAUCACCCCCCAUGAUUAUAUUAUUUUAUGUGGCAAAAGGGAUUUUGCCUUUAGAACUCAGUGCCCUACUCACUGACUGGGUUAAUCAAAAGGAAAAUUGUCCUGGGUGGGCCUGGCUUAAUCAGGGGAGCCCUUAAAGUUGAAAAGAAGCUGCAGCAAGGCUCUCCUGCUAGCAGGAAGAGGUGAGCUGCCCGGUUGUGAGAGGAGGACCAGGUGACAAGGACCCUCACAGGGCAGCUUCUAGAAGCUGGGAGCUGUCCCUGGCCAGCAGCCAGUAAGAAAAAGAAGACCUUGGUCCUAAAACUGCAAGGAAAUGAAUUCUGCUAACAACUGCAUGAAUGUGGAAAAGGGCCCUGAGCACAGGGAGAGCAAGCCAUGGAGGAGCAGAGAGAGACAGAGACAGAAAAAUCCCAACACUAUGGAGCAGGCUGUGUCCGUGUGGCUGGUGGGACCUCAGGCAAAGCAGAUGACGAAAAUAUCUUACGGGAGGUGUUUUCUCAACGGAGACCAUGCAUCCAACACGGAAAGUCCAGCCUGGUUUUCCACAGGCGAAGUGAGGGAUGGAGAAGUCUGCACGGUGAUGCUCCGCGACCUUCAGGACGCACGGUCAGAGCACGAACAGGAAGACACUGCACAUCGCUCCGGAGGAUUGUGGUGUCGCUUGGAGAACGUCUGGGUGCGACCCCGAUGUCAAAGCAUCCUGCCAGGGAAAGAGCAAGGCGCACUCGCCAGCCUGGGGGAGCCCAAGGCCUCGCGUGGCGCCUGUUUGCACUUUUCCCACCAGCCUCUGCCUCCCUUUCUGCCACACCUCCCCGGUGGCAAAGUGUGCCUCCCUCGUUAAUUUCCACAAGAAAUCAACAAGACGGGAAGAAGACUUUUGGUUUCAUUUCGCUUUGUUUCUUCAUAAAUGGUUUCGUUGACACGUAAUUGCACACGAUUCACCCGUUUAACGUGUACAGUUCAGGGCGUUGGGUGUAUUCACACACGUGUGCCACCAGCACACCACCGUCUGUUUUAGAGCAUUUUUGUCACCUCAAAAAAACCUCCGAACCCUUUAGCUAUUAUCCCCCAACCUUCCUCCAACCCCCCACCCCAAACCCCACCCCCAACCUAGUCGUAAGCAACCAUGAAUCUACUUCCUGUUCCUGUAGAUUUCCCAGUCCUGGACUUUCAUGCGAAUGGAAUCCUAGAACAUGUGAUCUUUUCGUGACUGGUUCCUGUCAGGCAUCAUGAACAGUUACGUGGUUCAUCCACGUUGUGUCACGUAUCAGCACUUCGUUCCUUUGUAUGAUGGAAUAAUACUCUGUUGUAUACUUUG